rnacentral:rRNA from 1 species
AUACGGAAGGUCCGGGCGUUAUCCGGAUUUAUUGGGUUUAAAGGGAGCGCAGGCGGAGAUGCAAGCGUGACGUCAAAUUUCGGGGCUCAACCCCGUCUCGCGUCGCGAACUGCGUCCCUUGGUUGCGGGAAGGGGAGGCGGAACUCGCGGUGUAGCGGGGAAAUGCAUAGAUAUCACGAAGAACUCCGAUCGCGAAGGCAGCCUUCCGGCCAGACAACGACGCUCAUGCACGAAGGGGCGGAUAGAAAACAGGAUUAGGUUCCCUGGUAGUCCGCACAGUAAACGAUGGACAACCGGGGUUUGGCCUGUAUGGCUGAGCCGCCCAGCGAAAACGUUAAGUGUCCCCCCUGGGGAGUGCGCCGGCAACGGUGAAACUCAAAGGAAUUGACGGGG